rnacentral:rRNA from 1 species
UAGCCGGCCUGAGAGGGCGACCGGCCACACUGGGACUGAGACACGGCCCAGACUCCUACGGGAGGCAGCAGUGGGGAAUAUUGCGCAAUGGGCGAAAGCCUGACGCAGCAACGCCGCGUGCGGGAUGAAGGCCUUCGGGUUGUAAACCGCUUUCAGCAGGGAAGAAGCGAAAGUGACGGUACCUGCAAAAGAAGCACCGGCUAACUACGUGCCAGCAGCCGCGGUAAUACGUAGGGUGCAAGCGUUGUCCGGAUUUAUUGGGCGUAAAGAGCUCGUAGGCGGUUAGUCACGUCGGAUGUGAAAACUCAGUGCUUAACACUGAGCCUGCAUUCGAUACGGGCUGACUAGAGUAUUGUAGGGGAGAUGGGAAUUCCU